rnacentral:misc_RNA from 1 species
CACUCCUUGUGGUCAUUUAGUUCAAUACAAAUUGCUGUCACCAGCAAGGGGAAAAUCAAGUGAAGCUGCUUCAAGAAUUGGACAAGGUUCUUCAGUGCAGAUACAAGAUGAAGAAUUACAAGAAUGUGGAAUCUGUUCAAUGGUGGGAUGUUUGCCGAAGAGCAGAUUGGGCAGAAAAAGAGGAAUGUAUUUCUGGAAUUACUCUAGGCAGGCUAGAAACUACAGACUUGCCCAUGGAAACUUCUGAUUGUGAAGAUAAUUAUAGUGAGCAUGUGGAUUCAUUAAAGUCCCAUAAGCCAUUUCACUUGUUUCAUACAUACGCAGAUUUACAGACGAGCUCAUGGAAGAUGCCACUUUGGCAGAAUCAAAAGAUUCAUUUCUACGAGAUGGCUGGUGGAGAGAAUGAAAUAGAGAAGAUGCCAGUUCGAGAGGUUGAAAUUAGGCAGAAAGAUUUAUUACCUGUUUCUGAACAUUUUCACAGAACUCUCUCUAAUUGGACAGACAGGGGCCUUAGUGUUGAAAGAUACUCAACUUCAUUGGCUGG